GACGAACGCUGGCGGCGUGCUUAACACAUGCAAGUCGAGCGGUAAGGCCCUUUCGGGGGUACACGAGCGGCGAACGGGUGAGUAACACGUGGGUGACCUGCCCUCAGCUCUGGGAUAAGCCUGGGAAACCGGGGUCUAAAUACCGGAUAUGACUCCAUGACGCAUGUUGUGGGGUGGAAAGCCUUGUGCGGCUGAGGAUGGGGCCCGCGGCCUAUCAGCUUGUUGGUGGGGUGAUGGCCUACCAAGGCGACGACGGGUAGCCGGCCUGAGAGGGCGACCGGCCACACUGGGACUGAGACACGGCCCAGACUCCUACGGGAGGCAGCAGUGGGGAAUCUUGCGCAAUGGGCGAAAGCCUGACGCAGCGACCGCCGCGUGAGGGAGGAAAUCCUUCGGGAUGUAAACCUCACAAGC
rnacentral:rRNA from 1 species